rnacentral:rRNA from 1 species
UACGGGGGGGGCAAGGCGUUGUUCGGAAUCACUGGGCGUGAAGCGGCACGUAGGCCGGUUUUGCUAAGGUCAAGGGGUGGAAAUCCUGGAGCUCAACUCCAGAACUGCCUUUGAUACUGAGGAGCUUGAGUCCGGGGAGAGGUGAGUGGAACUGCGAGUGUAGAAGGUGAAUUCGUAGAUAUUCGCAAGAACACCAGUGGCGAAGGCGGCUCACUGGCCCGAUACUGACGCUGAGGCACGAAAGCGUGGGGAGCAAAC